GAUGAAGAACGUAGCGAAAUGCGAUAAGUAAUGCGAAUUGCAGAAUUUCCGUGAAUCAUCGAAUCUUUGAACGCACAUUGCGCCCUUUGGUCUUCCAUGGGGCAUGCCUGUUCGAGCGUCAUUCAAACCUUCAAGCCCCGCUUGGUGUUGGGCGCUUGUCCCGCCUACGUGCGUGGACUCGCCUUAAAACUAUCGGCGUCGACGUGCCGGUCUCGAGCGCAGCAGAAUUGUCGCUACGAGGUCGGACGCUGCGGCUUGCCGUAAAAUGACCACCCAAUUCUUGACCUCGGAUCAGGUAGGGAUACCCGCUGAACUUAAGCAUAUCAAUAAGCGGAGGA
rnacentral:misc_RNA from 1 species